UCUUCUUCUUCUUUUUUGUUCCUGCUAUUUCUCCCCAAAUACCCCCAGUACAUAGUUGUAUAAUUUAGUUGUGGGUCCUUUUAGUUGUGGCAUGUGGGAUGCCGCCUCAGCAUGGCCUGAUGAAGGGUGCCAUGUCUGCGCCCAGGAUACAAACUGGCGAAUCCCUGGGCCGCUGAAGUGGAGCGUGCGGACUUUACCACUCGGCCAUGGGACUGGCCCUUUUAUAUUGUUUUGAGUUUAAAAUCAUGUUAAUGCAUUUCCUGCUCAAAUAAAGAAAUAAAUAACAAAUUGCCCAGUGAAGAACAUAAUCAUUGAAGAACGAGCCUCUGUUCUAUGAUCAUUUUUACAACCUUUGAAGGUGGCUUCAGAUGGAAAAUGUCUUCCACAAAAUUCAAAUAUCUACACAUAGUGAAUCCUUUGCAAACAUUUAGGGCUCGAGUAUUGUUUAUUUGAUCAUGAAAAUUUUUUACAUCUAUUCUGCUAUUUACCAUCCAGGCAGCAGGUGGAAGUGUUUCUCUGUUUUUCUUUGUGUCUUCCCCCACCUCCCCAACUUCAUAUGCAAAACCAACCAAGAAUUCUCUAAUUCAAAAAUGCAUCACAUCUUCUAGAUUCAUGUUGUUACUCUCUCAUCCCAAAAAUCUUUUGGGGACUUAAAGCUUCCAGCAGGCUGCUUAAUGAUUAUUCAAAAGGGGCUGAUUAUUGGGUUUGCUGGUGUAAAGUCUUUCUUCCCUCUUCUCUCUGCUCUCUUCUUAUCAUUCCACUCAGCUUGCAUACAUCACUCUCCAUAAUCAAGUCAUAGAAAAAAACCCCUUAAAUUAUGAAAAUUCUCAGCCCUUUCUUUCUUUCUCUCUCUCUCCCUUUUUUACUUUGCAGAUGAAACUCAGGCUUUGGAAAGCAAAACAAACAAUCAAACAAAUAAAGAGAGAGCAGAUUUUGGACCUCCAUCAAUGGUGCCAAAGGAAAAAAAAAGCUAACAGGGGUGAAGGUGCUGGUAAAGAUGCAGAAAAGGACACUUUGGAGCAUUGGAUGGACAAAGGACAGUAGGGAAGAUGUUUUACCCACAGUGAAGUACACGGGAGUGACCUCGGGUCGCAUGCAGCCUCUGUAUUAAAUAACAUCGACACAUAUUGGGAGAGAGUUGUGGCCCUUUUCAAUGCUGAGUAGAGCAAGGAGAAAAUCUCCUGUGGUGCAAGCAUGAUUUUAACACCUUUUAACACUUGCUCUGCCGCCAUUUCAACAGAGAGGGGCAAGCAGCAGGCAGGGGUCCUUGGGGCGUCAAUAGCACCCAGCUAGAAUUUUCUUAGGUUGUUUUGUUUUCUUUUAGUUAUAUUUCUAUCUUUGGCACGUGAUUUUGGUUUUCUGCUUAAGGUAGUGAUAAGGGGUCCCUUUUAAAUACAUGCAUUUCUAAAUGUGUCUCCCAUCUCAGACAAUUUAUGACUUUAAUGCCAUCAUUUGAGAAUCAUGGGAAAAUUAGAAUUGUGCAAUUUUAGAACAGAAAGGGAUUAUCUAGUCCAACCUCCUCAUUUCACAGUUGAUGAAGUGGAGGUUUAAAGGGACGUGACUGGCCCAAGGUCACAAAGGGUUCUGUGGUUAAUAAUCUGUGUGUGUCUGCCUGUAUGUGUGUGUGUGUGUGUGUGUGUGUGUGUGUCUGUGUGUAUGGACUGGUGGGGGGAAGUUGGAAUGGUGUUAGAGGAGGGCCAGAUAAUAGCCUAGAUAUGGAGCUGCUUUAAAUAAUUUGGGUUGUCUUGAUACCAUGGAAGGAAAGAGGGAAGAGGAGGGGGAGACAAUCUUUGAACAAAAUGAAAACCCCUAAACCAGAAGGGGUGAAAAAUCCUUAAAAUCUAAGUUUCUACCGCUCGCUGCAGCAGCGAGGACAAGAGCUGGCUUGUUUCCCCCAAUAAUCGCAGCAGUAGCUUUUUGCUGCGGAAUGUGGCGUUAAAUACAAUAGGUCAGCACUGAGCUUGAACAAAAUGU
rnacentral:lncRNA from 1 species